rnacentral:lncRNA from 1 species
UUACGUUCACUUCGGCUUAAAAAAAAAAAAGUAGUUAAAGAGUGGGAACCCGGCCCGCGGGCGGAGAGAUCCGCCUCCGCCAGAGCCCCCCCCCCCGGCCGCCGCAGGCCGGGCCCCCUCUCCGCCAGCAGCCAGCUCCCGCCGCACCGGCCCCGGGUGUCCGGGCAGCCCCGCACCGAGCGGGGCCCCAGGCGGGAGCGGUCCCCGGCACCGGGCGGCCCCGCGCCCUCAGGAGCAGGAAGGAGGGGGACGCCGGGGCAGCGCGCGUAUCCCUCCGCGGCGCCGUGCCUGCGUGUGCGGCGGCUCCUCGGGAAGCGCGUGAGGCAGCGCCGGGGGGGAAGGGAGGGAGUGAGGGAAGGAAGGAAGGAAGGAACUACUUUCAGGAAAGUCGAGCGCCGGGCGGCCGCGGCGGGGCGGGCGGCAGACUCGGGGCGUGGGGGGGGGGUUCGCUUCCCCCACCCCCUCCUCCUUACCCCCCCCGCUCUUCCCCUCUUCUCCCUCCUCCCUUUCCCCCCGUGGUUAUUUUGGAUCAAGCUGUGGCGGCGGAAGGAGCUUGAAGUCAACGCUUCCGCCCAGUUUUCCUGUGAGGAGGGGGGGGGGGGGGGGGGGGGGCGGAGGCGGCGGCGCGGAGCCGAGGCGGCGGCCGCCGCUAAUGGAGUUGCUGCCGGGGAGGGAGCGCAGCCGCUGAACUUCCCCGCGGGCUCCCUCCCUCCUUCGUCCAGCGGCCGGGGGCGCCUCUCUCGCCCUGGCAGCUCCGCUUCCCCUCCCUGCCUCCUCCCUCCCCGCUCCGCUCCUCACACAAACAGCCGUGACGCAUCCUCCCUCUCCCUCCGUCCGUCCGUUCCCCCCCCCCGCUUCCCACCCCCAGGCUGGUUUAAAACGCCUCCCUCCCCCCGUCGCCAGCCUUCUCCUCCUCGGGGCCGGCCCGCCCUCCCGCCCUCCCUCCGCAGUGCUUGGGCCUCGCUCCGGAGGGGGUGGGAGAGCCCCGCCAAGCCGCUCGGCCCCCCCUUCUUCCCCCCCCCUCCCUCCCCUCCUCUUUCCCCCCCUCUCCUCCCCCCGCCCCGCCGCCGCCUGCCCCGGCCUGUGGCGGCUCCGGUGUCUGGAGGAAUUUCUGCCGCCGCCUGCCCCGGCUGGGCGCGGGAGGCGGCCGAGCAGCAGCAGCAGCAGGAGGAGGAGGAGGAGGAGGAGGAGGGCAGCAGCAGCAGCAGCAGCGAAGGCGGCUGCAGCGGGAGAUGA